CUUACCAGGUGGAAGUUCCUGAUUGGUGUGCACUAUAAGUACUAUAUGUCUAUGAUACUCACUGCAAGAAUCUUCCUAAUCACAGCUGUGGAGUUUGAUCAUCCAUGCUUCAUGAUCUUCCAGUCAUCCCAAUGAAGCUCCUGGUAUUCCUUGUAUGGAUUUGUGCCUCUACUAUCCUGAUCUUUUGUUUUCCCUCUGGAAAGAAGCCAUUUUAUGAAAGCAACUAUGUGGCUGAAGAACAACUUAUUAGGCCUGUGAAAGGCACAAAAUCUUCUCAGGAACCAGAAGAUUCACAAGAAAGUUCUGUGGACUGCGGUGGCAAUGUGUUUGAUUGUGCUAAGAUGGUAUUCCAGGGGAUCUUAGAUUCUU
rnacentral:lncRNA from 1 species